rnacentral:tRNA from 1 species
AAUAUUAGAGCUUGUGUUAAAGCAUUUCAUUUACAUUGAUAAGAACUUUUAAAGGUAAUAUUA